UCUGCUCCUCUAUCUAGAACCUGACCUUUGUCAGGGCCAGGGCAGGGCAAGUGGGGAGGGGAAUGGGCUGCCCGAGGGAGUCGUGUCUUUAAGGAAGGCCCCAUCGGAAGGAGCCAGUGGGAGAACAGAGUCCAUGGGGAAAGAGAGACUCGCUUUCCCGUGUGACACAGCUAUCAAGUGGCAGAACCAGGACCGGACCUCGUCUUGCUUACUAAGGCCUUCUAUCCACCGUCCUCACUGAAAUGAGUGUGAAUAAUGAUAUAAACAUACCCAUCAAUAUAAUGAACUCCCCAACCUUCCAAGUUGUCCCCCUUCUUCAUCAACCACCUUGCACUGUUUUGGGAAUCGGAAAUGAGGAAUCAGACAGACAGGGCCGCAGGGACUUGUAUAUGGUUUCAGGUGGAGUCCAGUGUGCCUGGGUCUGCACAGCACAGUUCAGCACAAGGAAGAAAGGUCCUGUGUCCUACAGUAUGCCUGAAUAUCUGACUGGACACUCAUCUGAGCCUGGAACUUGUGUCCGCUUAAAGCACAGAAUGGCGUUUAAUGAUUGCUUUAGUUUGAACUAUCCUGGCAACCCUCAGCCAGGUGACUUGAUUGAAGUGUUUCGUCCUGGCUAUCAACACUGGGCACUGUACUUGGGUGACGGAUAUGUUAUCAACAUAACACCUCUAGACGAUGGCAUUUCUACAUCGUUUACAAGCGCCAAAUCUGUAUUCAGCAGAAAGGCCUUGGUGAAGAUGCAACUUUUGAAAGAUGUUGUGGGAAAUGACACAUACAGAAUAAACAAUAAAUACGAUGAAACAUACCCACCACUCCCUGUGGAAGAAGUCAUGCAACGGUCAGAGUUUGUUGCUGGACAGGAGGUGGAGUAUGACUUAUUUGUCAACAACUGUGAGCAUUUUGUGACUUUGCUCCGCUAUGGAGAAGGAGUUUCAGAGCAGUGGCUGAAAGAUACCCAAUGAGUUAGGACUGCAUCUAGCUGGGGCCACCGCACCCACAGGAUCCUGCCAUUUUCCCAGGGCUGUCCUCUGCUGCCAUUUGAUAUCUCUGUUUAAAGACACCAAUUGCACCUUCCUGUUUUUGCAUUGCCUACCAUAUGUUCCUGUAUCAGCCCUCCUUGGAAUCUCAGCAUCUGCCUGGAAUUGCAUGAGGCCAACCGAGCAAUAAGUACCAUUGGGUUUGUGACAGCUGCCGCUGGUGCCUUCUCUUUCCUUGGCUUGUUUCCAAAAAGACUAAGAGCAAAAUACUAUUAAUUUACUGAAGAGAUAUUGGAGCUGAAGGAAUUUGUGAGGAGGAAAAAAAAACCUGGGAUGAAUACUUAUUUGCAAUGUAUCAUUAUUGUUCUAAAUUCCAAUGAUGGAUGGCAGGCUCUUUAAUAAAUUGCUUACUGGUAUUAUCUCA